CGCAGGCGCAGCAUACCGAGUGGACAUUUUGGUCUUUGUCCGCGGGUCAGUCCGGCCCCUGGGUCCACGUGGCGCGAAAAUAGGAGGUUAUAAGCUGACCAAACUGUAUGUGAGUCUCUGUUGAAGCAGGAAGACGAACUCUGAAUGGUGGAGAAAAAAGUGGAAAUGAAAUUUGUCCAGGUCAUACACAGAGAAGCCCUACAAAUGUAAGAAAUGUGGAAAUACCUUCAGCCAAAAGUAAAUUUUCAUUCAUCAAAAAAUUCAUACUGGAGAGAAACCUUGUGAAUGUGGGAAAGCUUCCAUUCAGAUGUCACACCUCAGUCAGCAGAGAAUUUGUAGUGGGGAAAACCCCUUUGCUUGUAAGGUAUGUGGAAAGGUCUUCAGCCACAAAUCAACUCUCACUGAGCAUGAGCAUUUUCAUAAUAGAGAGAAACCUUUUGAAUGUAAUGAAUGUGGAAAAGCCUUCAGCCAAAAGCAAUAUGUCAUUAAACAUCAGAACACCCAUACUGGAGAGAAGCUUUUUGAAUGUAAUGAAUGUGGAAAAUCCUUCAGCCAGAAAGAAAACCUUCUUACCCAUCAAAAGAUUCAUACUGGAGAGAAACCUUUUGAGUGUAAGGAUUGCGGGAAAGCUUUCAUUCAGAAGUCAAACCUCAUCAGGCACCAGAGAACUCACACAGGAGAGAAGCCGUUUGUAUGUAAGGAGUGUGGGAAAACCUUCAGUGGUAAAUCAAACCUUACUGAACAUGAGAAAAUCCAUAUUGGAGAGAAACCGUUUAAGUGUAGUGAAUGUGGAACAGCUUUUGGUCAGAAGAAGUACCUCAUAAAACAUCAAAAUAUUCACACUGGAGAGAAACCCUAUGAAUGUAAUGAAUGUGGAAAAGCCUUCUCUCAGCGAACAUCACUUAUUGUACAUGUGAGAAUUCAUUCAGGUGAUAAGCCUUAUGAAUGCAAUGUAUGUGGAAAAGCCUUCUCUCAAAGUUCAUCUCUUACUGUACAUGUGAGAAGCCAUACAGGGGAGAAACCCUAUGGUUGUAAUGAAUGUGGGAAAGCUUUCUCUCAAUUCUCAACCCUUGCUCUACAUUUGAGAAUACACACAGGUAAGAAGCCUUAUCAAUGUAGUGAAUGUGGGAAAGCUUUCAGCCAGAAGUCACACCACAUUAGACACCAGAAGAUUCAUACUCAUUAAAAACCUGUGGAUAUCAUGAAAAUUGAAAAGUGUUCAUCAGGAAUUUAUACCUCAGAACACAUCAGAAAUAAUUGUUGUGAAGGAAAGCAUCACAAACAAGGGAAACAAAAGCUAUUAACUUAAAAGGACACCAGAGAAUUCAUCUUGAAGAAAAAGACAUUUGUUUGAUAAAAAUCCUAUAUCCAACAGAAAACAAACAGCAAAGGUAAUACUGAAACUUACAGUGCAUUUCCACUAAAAUUGGGAGUGGAAAACAUGCUUACCAUUGCUAUCUGCGUAGAUCUGGAGAUGUUCACCAAUGUAAAAAAAAAAAAAUUGUAAGUAUUAGGAAGAGACCUACGAUAUCAAUUUAGCAGAACAGAAGAGAUUCUGGAAACACCUAUGCAUUUAUUAGAAUUUAUAAUAUAAUAGAAAUGGCAUCAGGAGAAGAUAAUGGAACUAUUUACAAAAUGAUUUGGAGAUAAUUUUUUCUCCGAGAAAAAAAAUAAUAGACAGUGAACUAUACACAAAGAUAAGAUCCAAGAGGAUUAAAAACAGGAAUAUGGAAAAGCUGUAUACUAAAAUGGUUAUGAUCUUGGAAGUUGGGAAACAUUCCUUAUAGCAAAUUGAAAAAUACCUGGCAAUUUUACUAUGCUCGGGAAAUAUAUACCGGGCUAUUUACUGUGGCAUGAUUUGCAGUAGUCAUAAAUUGGAAACAACUUAAAUGCCCAUCAGGAACAAAUGGGAAAUACUUAAUGAUGGAAUGCUGUAUAUCUGUAAAAUGUAGUAAAUGAGAUCAAUAUGUAUUACAGAGAAAGAUCUCAAAAGUCAUGUUGAGGGGGAAAGAUAAAGUUGCAGAGUGACAUAUAAUACAAUGACAUUUUUGUAAAUUUGAAUUAAAACUUCCCUCACAAAUUCAUUGCUAUAUAUUGGUAAUGGAUACAUAUAUGUGUGUAUGUUUUUAAAAUGUUUCUGAAGUGGAUUGGAAGGAUACAGACCAAACUCUUGAUAGUGGUUGCCUAUGAAGAGAGGAGAAGGGGAAAGGGGGUGUGUGCGGGGGAGGGGGAGGGAGGUUUGGUUAGCUGAGACUUCAGUUUUUUAUAUAAACAUCCAUUUCUCUUUAAAGGAAAAAAAACUUCAAGUAAAUAUAUUGAAGUACUGGUUAAUUCUGGAUUGUGGUAUAUGGAUAUCUUGUCUUAUUUUUUGUACUUUUCUGUAUUUUAAAUUCUUCUCAAAAUUAAUAAAAAUGGGGGUGAGGAUGGGAACACUGUACCUAUAGAAAUGUUCUAAUGGAUUCAUUCCCAAUCAACUACUAAACUUUUUAUAGAAAAUAUUUCUAAAAUUUUAUCAAUGAGUGAAUGGACUUGCUCUCUAUGUAGUAUGAAAUUAUCUAUUUUAUUAAAAUUUAAAAUGACAGCAUUA